GCCUCUGUGGUGAAAUGGUAAACACAAGGGACUUAAAAUCCCUCGGAUUUAAUCCUUGAGGGUUCAAAUCCCUCCAGAGGUA
rnacentral:tRNA from 1 species